rnacentral:lncRNA from 1 species
CAGCUCCUGGAUAUCAGCAGUCCAGCCAAAACAUCCAACAACAGUAGUGGCUCAAUCCAGAAGGAACCACCAGGAUCCACCAAAUGGGCAGGAGUCUAAGAAAGCAGCAAGAAACAGGUGCAGCACCAUGAGAAGUUCUUUGGCAUGCUUCUCUCCACAAAGUCACAACAAACAAAGAUGAGUGAACACCAGCAAAGUGUUGCAAGGCAUACCAAUGCAAUAGCAUUGUCCAAUGUCUGUUGGAUUCAACUUACACUCUUUCUAAGCAUCAUGUGGUCCUCUCAAGUGUCCACCUCAGCAAAACAUCCUGUCAUAAAACAGCUUCCAGAA